UAAAAUUUAAAAUUAUAAUACUUAAAUAGUAGAUAAUUAUUUAUUGAAACUUAAAUAAUUUGGCGGUAUUUUAGUUCAUUUAGAGGAAUCUGUUUAAUAAUUGAUAUUCCACGAAUAAAUUUACUUAAUUUAUAAUUUUGUAUAUCGUUGUUAUAAAAAUAUUUUUUAAUAAAAUUAAUAUUUAAAAAUUAUUAUUUAAAUUUAAAUCAGAUCAAGAUGCAGAUUAUAAUUAAGAAUAUAAUGGAUUACAAUAAAUUUAUUUAAAUGGAUAUUUUUUUGUAAAAAUUAAUUGAAGGUGGAUUUAAAUGUAAUUUUAUUAAUUUUAUUAAAAUGAUUAAAAAUUAAAAUAUGU
rnacentral:rRNA from 1 species